CCUCUGGUGUUAGAGAGCCCUUUGAAGUCUGGCUGGCCUCUCCAGCCUCUGCCUCGUCUACCUCUGACAAGCACAGAGGCUUGAUUUCUGGCUCCUGUCUUCAUCCCUCUGUCUGACCAAAUCAUACUGCCUCAGGAUGGGCUGGGUCCCUAGGUUUGUAUGGAGCAUGACACACAGGGGCCCACUUUGUUCCGGAGUCUAUGGGGAGGUAUCUUCAAAUGACCCCGGUUCUGCCUUCGGAGUUGGUGACUCAGAUGGGACAAACUUUACUGGCUGGACACUGCUUGUUCUGAGGCUGUUGCAGCUGAGAAAUCUUUGACAAAAAAAGCUAAGAAUUCUUACAACAUCAGCCUCUGAGAUCUCUGCCUACAGGGAGAAUUGGAAACAAGAGAGACCACUUAGAAAGAUCACCAGAGAUAUUCAAAUUACAAAUCAGGAAGAUCUAUCAUAUUGUCACUGCCCACCCUCACUCCAUCUGAAGAUGCUUCAAGCUGGACAUCUAGAAGUCUUCUCAACUGUCUGCCUUCAAAACUCAUAAACUGUGACUGUAGUCUGCUCUGAUCAUUAGCCAUUGUUUUUCUUUUGUUUCCAUAGAAAUAUCUCUUAUUAAAUACCAGGUGGCUUGCACCACAGGCCUAACAUGAGCCCACUUACUUCUCUGCAUCCUGAAAUGAGACACAACUGUUUCACUGAACUGACCUAUUCUCAGGACUAAGAGACUAGUUCAAUUAGGUGAAGCAGUCUAUCAACUUAACUUCUGGACUGCAAAACUUCUUAGGGAAGUUUCAAAGGAAAACAGGAGGAGCAUUAUCCUGAAAUAUGCCACAUUGGCAUGUAGAUUAUUUUGAGCUAAAGGCAAUCAAGACCCAGCAGAUUAAAGAAAAACUUUUACUUCUCCCUUAACUAUCUAAAAGGAAUUUAAAUAGAGAGCCUGGUCCGGAAAGAGAGCUAUUACCAAAGAUAACCUUUUGUCUGAAAGACAUAUCUAUAUGGCAAAGCAAACAUCUAAUUCCCAAACAUCUGCUUUUCCUAUUGUCCGUGAAUCACCUUCCUCCUCUUGAUGCCUGAAGCCCUUAUCCCAUUUCUUAAAUCAGGGUGUCAUAUAAGUUUCAGCUGACUGACUUGUCCUUGGGUGUCAUAUAUUUUGUGGGACUCCCUUAUAAAUGUAAUUAAAUUUGUUUUUCUCCAGUUAA